UAGGGCUGCAAGGUUUGUGAUUUCUCACAACCGCGCCGCCGCUCAACAGCCACUGUCCGCCGACAGCUACCGUUUUCAGAGAAGGAAACUAGAAAACAUGGCAGAAGAGGAUUCGAAGCCUCUGACCUAUAUUCCAGAGGUUAUGCUGAAGAAGAGGAAGAGUAACGAAGCUUGGGCAUUGAGAAAAAAAGCACAAUUCCAGAACAAAAAGUUCCGCUCCAAGGACUCCAUCAAGAAGCCCGAGGAUUUCGUUCACGAGUAUCGAAACCAAGAGGUGGACCUUAUAAGAAUGAAACGGAGGGUAAAGAGGAAAUUGCCUGAACAAUUGAUCCCCGAAUCCAAGCCGUUAAUAAUUAUUCGGAUACAGGGGAAAAAAGACAUGCAUCCAAUGACCAGAAAGGUAUUAUACAGCUUGGGAUUGAGAAGUGUUUUCAGUGCUGUGUUUCUGAAGCCAAAUGACGGAAUAAUGGGCAAGCUGCUGAGAGUGGAACCAUAUGUAACCUAUGGAUAUCCAAAUCUUAAAAGCAUUAAGGAGCUAAUUUACAAGAAAGGACAUGCAAAAAUAGAUAAGCAAAAAGUUCCCUUGACAGAUAAUAACAUCAUUGAACAGGAAUUAGGAAAGUUUGGUAUUUUAUGCAUAGAAGACAUGGUGCAUCAACUCUAUAAUGUUGGUCCACACUUUAAGGAAGUCGUCAGAUUUUUGUGGCCCUUUCAACUCAACAAGCCAGCUGAAGGAUUGAAAGGAUCAAAAACCCUAUACAAGGAUGGUGGAGACACAGGAAACCGUGAGGAUCUCAUCAAUGAACUAAUCAAUAAAAUGAAUUAACUUUGGCCUCUGUAGUAUCAAAAUUUUGAUGUUUAUGAAUUAUGAUGUCCCUCUGAUUAUCCUAGGAAUCGGAUCUGUUGUUGAUUUUGGACAGCCAUGUGCAAUACUUUCUCCCUGUUAUGAAUGCUAUCUUCUGUUAAUGACAUCUUCUCAAUUUAGAAUCAAUGAAAAUAUGGGGUCAUUGGAGGUCAUAAACUUCAAACGGUGUUAACCAUAGUAGAGAUCAUGAUGUAACCACAAAGAUUGUAAUAACCUGAUUUUGUAUAGAACUUUGCUGUGGCCAUUUCUUUUCUGAUUGCUGGAUUAGCCGCUGCUCUUAAACCAUUUUCCUAUGCUUUUGGCUAUCCUUCUGCAGGGGAGGGCGUAUCACUAGUCAUAUUUCAUACAUGUCUUGGGGGAAAGGGUACUGCACUACUUUUUCAGUGUCUUUCAUAUUAUUCAUUCUUAUUUUUGUUUGUUGUUUCCUAAAGAAUUGAAUUUGGUUGCUAGACGGAUUCAAAUUAUAUCAAGAUCAAUUUAAGU